rnacentral:rRNA from 1 species
AGUGAACGCUGGCGGUAGGCCUAACACAUGCACGUCGAACGGCAGCACAGGAGAGCUUGCUCUCUGGGUGGCGAGUGGCGGACGGGUGAGGAAUACAUCGGAAUCUACUUUUUCGUGGGGGAUAACGUAGGGAAACUUACGCUCAUACCGCAUACGACCUACGGGUGAAAGCAUGGGAUCUUCGGACCUUGCGCGAUUGAAUGAGCCGCUGUCGGAUUAGCUAGUUGGCGGGGUAAAGGCCCACCAAGGCGACGAUCCGUAGCUGGUCUGAGAGGGUGAUCAUCCACACUGGAACUGAGACACGGUCCAGACUCCUACGGGAGGCAGCAGUGGGGAAUAUGGGACUAUGGGCGCAAGCCUGAUCCAGCCAUACCGCGUGGGUGAAGAAGGCCUUCGGGUUGUAAAGCCCUUUUGUUGGGAAAGAAAUCCAGCUGGUUAAUACCAGGUUGGGAGGACGGUACCCAAAGAAUAAGCACCGGCUAACUUCGUGCCAGCCGCCGCCGCAG